UAUUAACGUCAAAUUAAACAUUACUACUUCCGUUACUAGAUACAAGCAACGUGUUUUCAGUGUAAGCGUUCUAAACAUAGAUGGUGACGUCACUGCGUUAUUGUUAUUAAGACCGGUGUGUAACGCGUAGCUGUUGAUACGCCUUUAUUCAUUUAUAACAUUUAUAUAAUAAAAAAAAACACAACAAUACAGUACGGUUAGAUCGUCAACUAAAAUCAAUUCACAAUAAAUACAACCAAUCACAUUAAAACGAAUACAACAAAACAGUACCGGUAGAUCGUCAACUUAAAAUCCGGACAGGAUGACGUUUAUAUAUGCUUACUUUUUUACUCAACUUCUUUGUCGGUUAAACGUGCGAACAUAAACUGCUUUUAAUUUUUUAAUCAGCGAUGUUGGACUUCAGAUGUGUGAACAACUAUCCUUUGCCCUUACGCAGCGGGAAAUAAUGACGUAGUAGAUUAAAGUCAAUUAACAACCACAUUAAACAAUGCCGCCUUUUCGGUUUGACCGCGAACGUGAGACAAUCGAUAUGAUAACAGGAGUACAGGACCCCUGUAGUCUGCCUAUUCGGGUAGGCAUUGUCAUGGAGACGCUGCAGAUAAACACAGAUUCGAGGUGCAGUUAAGCCUAAGAUAAGGUACAUGUAUAUAUGGAUUUUGUAAAUUCCGGGACAUUUGACAGAUUUCCGGGACAGCGGGACAAGUUCUUCAUUUCCGGGACUGUCCCGGACAAUCCGGGACGUAUGGCAUGUAUGCGGCUCAACACACGGUCUUGGCGAACAGCAUGCUCACUUUCAGUGUGAUAACUGUUGCGGCCAAAAUAAAAACAACAUAGUCAUCUGGUACCUUCUGUGAAGAGUUCUUGUAGGGUUACACAGAAUCAUCACACUAAGCUUUAUGUUGAUAAGACAUAAAAAGUUUACACCAGAUUGGCACUUUGGCAACUGGAAGUCAAAGUGGAGAAACUUCAAUAGAGAAAUGUUGUCUGAUGUCGCUGCGUCUGUGGGGUUAUCGUCAAGGACGAGCCACAACAUCCCCCAGCUUGUGGGGGACUCUUCCAAUCCUGUUGUUAUCUAAGACAGGAAGGAUUACCUUACGACAUUGUUUCACCACCUAAAGAAUGUCACCAAAUUUCAUCAAUUUCCAUGUGUCAGCGGAGCAUCUCGGUGUUGUGGAAUGCAGGGAAUUUAGUGACUCACCAGUAGUCAGAAUCACUCUCAGGAAGGUCUCAAAAGUGAAUGUUAAUGUGAGCUGUGACAACCUGCCAUAAGAAAUGUUUGCGAAAGGGCUUGAUCUGGACCAUCUGUGGUAUUUAUUUGAAAACAUUCGUGAAUUUUGUCGCAUAGAUGAAUCAAAAACGUGACAUGUCCGAAACGCGCUACUGGUGAGCAACAAAAAACAGACUGUGCUCCCCAAAAAAGAAGAUGCAUUAAGAUGCGCAUCUGAUCUUCUCUGAUAGUGCCACAACAAUUACAUACAUCAUGUAUCAGUGUUUAUUUUGGCCAAGGUAUUGGGUGAUAUAUUUUCCCCCAAACAAUCCAAAAAAUCCUCUUUUCCUAGGAAAGCUUAAACAUGUAUACGAUUGCUAAAUGUGUCAGUUGAUACAGGUUUUGAAAUGUUCAAUGCAAACGUUUGUUGUUCUAAUUGCACAAGCUUGUUUUCAAGUUUUUAUAUCUCAUAUUUACAAAACAAAAAUCAUUUUUUCCAUGUUACCAUGAAAUUGUUUUCACCUUAUGGACACAGACUGCCUUUGCGAAAAACUGGAAAAAAAUCAGUGUGAAUAUUGUAUUUAUUUAAGUUUUACAAUGAAAAUCCUAUAUUUUUGUUUGUUUGCUACAUUGUUUCCAUAGUAACAAAAACAAACAAUUUGUAUGUUUAAGUUAUUGCUUAUUUUGUCUAUUUUUCUCUAUCAGAAAUAAUGAUAAAUAAUGAUUAUUUCAUUUACUGAAACAUUUAGUAUCCAAGUGUACUUUCAACCAACACUUUUCAAUGCUGUGUUUUUCCAUUAUGUUGUGUUUUAGGUUACAUUAUACUUAAAUACACAUGUAACUGAAUAAAAAAAAGGAAAUUGU